rnacentral:rRNA from 1 species
AUUGAACGCUGGCGGCAGGCUUAACACAUGCAAGUCGAGCGGAGAUGAGGUGCUUGCACCUUAUCUUAGCGGCGGACGGGUGAGUAAUGCUUAGGAAUCUGCCUAUUAGUGGGGGACAACAUUCCGAAAGGAAUGCUAAUACCGCAUACGUCCUACGGGAGAAAGCAGGGGAUCUUCGGACCUUGCGCUAAUAGAUGAGCCUAAGUCGGAUUAGCUAGUUGGUGGGGAAAAGGCCUACCAAGGCGACGAUCUGUAGCGGGUCUGAGAGGAUGAUCCGCCACACUGGGACUGAAACACGGCCCAGACUCCUACGGGAGGAAGCAGUGGGGAAUAUUGGACAAUGGGCGGAAGCCUGAUCCAGCCAUGCCGCGUGUGUGAAGAAGGCCUUUUGGUUGUAAAGCACUUUAAGCGAGGAGGAGGCUACCUGGAUUAAUACUCUAGGAUAGUGGACGUUACUCGCAGAAUAAGCACCGGCUAACUCUGUGCCAGCAGCCGCCGUAAGAC